UGGGCGAUGGUAGCAGAAUAGAGAGGAUAACUAUGGUUUCUCUACUUCAAAGGGGUAUGUCUAAGUCUGGGACGAAUCACGUGAUAAGAGUACACCACAAAGGAUGCUUAUCCAUAGGCCGAUAAACCCUACCCGUCCUGCUAAUGAGAGGUGGACUACAGGGGACCAACGUAACUGUCACCUACGCGGCCUACCACACGAUCCAGCUAGUCAGGGGAUAUCCACAAGUAAUCUAGGUCUA
rnacentral:lncRNA from 1 species